UGGGGAAUAUUGGACAAUGGGGGCAACCCUGAUCCAGCCAUGCCGCGUGAGUGAUGAAGGCCUUAGGGUUGUAAAGCUCUUUUGUGUGGGAAGAUAAUGACGGUACCACAAGAAUAAGCCCCGGCUAACUUCGUGCCAGCAGCCGCGGUAAUACGAAGGGGGCUAGCGUUGCUCGGAAUUACUGGGCGUAAAGGACGCGUAGGCGGAUUGUUAAGUCAGGGGUGAAAUCCUGGGGCUCAACCUCAGAAUUGCCUUUGAUACUGAUAGUCUAGAGACCGGAAGAGGUAAGUGGAAUUGCGAGUGUAGAGGUGAAAUUCGUAGAUAUUCGCAGGAACACCAGUGGCGAAGGCGGCUUACUGGUCCGGAUCUGACGCUGAGGCGUGAAAGCGUGGGGAGCAAACA
rnacentral:rRNA from 1 species